UACAGAGGUCUCAAGCGUUGUUCGGAUUCAUUGGGCGUAAAGGGUGCGUAGGUGGCGCCAUAAGUCAGGUGUGAAAUCUCGGGGCUCAACCCCGAAACUGCAUUCGAUACUGCCGUGCUUGAGGACUGGAGAGGAGACUGGAAUUUACGGUGUAGCGGUGAAAUGCGUAGAGAUGCGGAGGAACACCGAUGGCGAAGGCAGCCCCCUGGGCUAGCACUGACGCUCAGGCACGAAAGCGUGGGGAGCAAACAGG
rnacentral:rRNA from 1 species